CAUUAGUUAGACAGGGAAGCCGUAUCGUCCUCAUUAAUUUCAGGUUUCCAAGAAUUCUAUGGACUGAAACAGACGGAAUAUUUUGGCUUUUCUUUUUCUACACACACUUUCUCGUCGUCCUGUGUUAGCUUUUUGGAUUUUAGAAAUAAUUUGUGAUCGUGUGCAAAGCGGUCUUAGAGUCAGUGUUUGCUCGUACCAGUUUUAAUUUACUUUUUUAUACUUAAAUAAGCUGAUCAAAUAUAAUUAGAUUCAAUAGAAAUUCGCGAAUUAGAGUCAUACUUGGAUUAAAUCAUCAUCAUUCUUCAUUAUCUUGGGGAGUAGGAUGCUCAUCGUACAAAGGACUGACA